AGUGGCGAACGGGUGAGUAACACGUGGGUGAUCUGCCCUGCACUUCGGGAUAAGCCUGGGAAACUGGGUCUAAUACCGGAUAGGAGCCAUUUUUAGUGUGAUGGUUGGAAAGUUUUUUCGGUGUAGGAUGAGCUCGCGGCCUAUCAGCUUGUUGGUGAGGUAAUGGCCUACCAAGGCGGCGACGGGUAGCCGGCCUGAGAGGGUGGACGGCCACAUUGGGACUGAGAUACGGCCCAGACUCCUACGGGAGGCAGCAGUGGGGAAUAUUGCACAAUGGGCGCAAGCCUGAUGCAGCGACGCCGCGUGGGGGAUGACGGCCUUCGGGUUGUAAACUCCUUUCGCUAGGGACGAAGCUUUUUGUGACGGUACCUAGAUAAGAAGCACCGGCUAACUACGUGCCAGCAGCCGCGGUAAUACGUAGGGUGCGAGCGUUGUCCGGAAUUACUGGGCGUAAAGGGCUCGUAGGUGGUUUGUCGCGUCGUCUGUGAAAUUCCGGGGCUUAACUCCGGGCGUGCAGGCGAUACGGGCAUAACUUGAGUACUGUAGGGGUAACUGGAAUUCCUGGUGUAGCGGUGAAAUGCGCAGAUAUCAGGAGGAACACCGAUGGCGAAGGCAGGUUACUGGGCAGUUACUGACGCUGAGGAGCGAAAGCAUGGGUAGCGAACAGGAUUAGAUACCCUGGUAGUCCAUGCCGUAAACGGUGGGCGCUAGGUGUGAGGGUCUUUUCACGACUU
rnacentral:rRNA from 1 species